ensembl:processed_transcript
CCCAGAUUGGGACUUCAACGCUGCUGAAGUGUGGCGUCCAUUACUUGAGAUUGCAUGGCUCAAGCACUGGCCAAAGGCUAAGACAGCUGUACCAUCUGAAAUGCUCAGGAGGACUACCCAGCUGCAGGGCAAGGACCAGAUGCCCACACAAACCAGAACGUAACUGCACUCAGUGUGAAAUCCUUGUCAUUAGUAGCCCCACUGUGCCUUUGAGGAGUUGGUUCACUGCCUUUGUGGUCAGCAGUAGCAGUAACCGCUGCGAAAGCAGCAGUGACAGCAGCAGCCACCACAGCAUUAACAGUAGCGUUGGAGGAGGCCACAGCAGAAGCAGCUGCCGCAGCAGCAGCAGCAGCAGCGGAGGCAUCAGAGGCGGAAGCGGAAGCAGCUGCAGCAGCCGCUGAAGCAUCAGAAGCAGAAGCAGAGGCGGCAGCAGCGGAAGUGGAAGCUGCAGACGCAGAAGCAAACGCAACAGAUGCGGAAGUGGAAGCUGCUGAAGCAGAAGCAAAAGCAGCAGAAGCAAUAUUAGAAGCAGCAGAAGCAGAAGUGGAAGCAGAUUCCGCAUAAGUAGAAGCUGCAGCAGCAGCAGCAGCAGCAGCAGAGGCAGAAGCAACAGUACAAGCUGUUCUGUCGUCAGAGUUCUCCAGUGCUACAUUCGGUUCCUGGAGUCCGUACUUCCUCUCUUCUUCAACCUUUAAGGAAAUUCAGGCUGUGUUAUUGUUCAUUAAAAGGGAGUUUUAUAGAUUCAUUUGUUUUAUUACUAGUCAGUGCCAUGGUCCACAAAUAUUUGUGUUUUAUCAGUACAGACCACUGACAUUUUGUAAGCUCUGCUUCACUUCUGUUUGAGUAAGAGACCCAGAAUUUUCAGAAAUCUUAAGGGGACAUGCUCUGUCUGGCUUUUAAAUUUUUGCCCUUUGCUGCUAAGCAGUGGUGGACACACCUUUAAUUCAAGCACUCGGAAAGCAGAGGUAGACUGAUCUGUGUGAGUUCCAGAACAGCUAGGGCUACACAGAGAAACCUUGUCUCAAAACUAAACUAAACUAAACUAAACUAAACUAAAUUAAACUAAACUAAACUAAACUGCCCUGGUUUUUUAUUGUUUGUCUGUUUGUUUUGCUACCUAACACAUUCACUUCCUUAGUGAUGUGAAGAAAUAAUGAGAAAAGGAUAGAGUAUGUCCUCUCCAGUCUAGAUUUUACAUUAAUAGCCACAGUUAGAGGCUGUGACAUUAAAAAGAUUGUGGAAUAAAAGGAACCUCACCCUUCUGCACUACAUCAGUCUUUCCUCGUGGUCUUUCACAAUUGCUCACUAGGAUCCUGGGAUAGCAAAUCAGUGAAGGUGGCCUUUGAAAUGCAUGAACAACACGUGCCACUACCCAUAGUGGAGGGGAGCGGCUGAGCUGCAAGUAUGGACUCUGGAGAUCCCUUCCAACCUCUCACUCCUUAACCAUGACUGUUACACCUGAGGGACAGCAGGUAAUGGCUUGCUUCAGCACCAUCACCUACAUACAGCAGGAGUUAUGUGAACAAAGCCUGGAGGAGCAUUCUAAGUGAUGGGUUGGUGUUAUCCACUCAGACAGGUUGCCCAGAAAACCCACUGAACCAGCUAAACUUAAGAACUGUGAGUUUGAGGCUUGGAGAGAUGGCUCAGCAGCUAAGAGUACUUGGAUUUGGUUCCAAGCACCCACGCAGGGGCUCACAUCUGUCUGAAACUCCACUUCCAGGGGAUCCAAUCCCUUCUGACCUCAGUGGGAGCACCAGGCAUGCAUAUGGUGCACAGGCAUACAUUCAUACCCAAGCAUACAGAAAAGUAAAAAAAAAAAAAAAAAAAAAAAA